GUGAAGCGCACGUGCGCAAGUAAAGCCAAAAACCUAGAACUUAAACCCCAAUUGUUGUGCGCUGAAGACUCUCUCCUGAGGCAAGCACUAAUCGAACGGAGACAGUGAAGACAAGAGUUUUUUCUUUACAUCUCGUGCUCGCUGUGGGAAACUUAAGCAUGAAUUCAAAAGAACAAGCUCCAGCCUUGGAAGAUUGCUUGAAACUUUUGAAAGGUGAAAGAGAUGAACAAAGGCUAGCUGGUCUUCUUCUAGCCACUAAAUUCUGUACCGGAGAUGACCACACCUCAAUUUGUAGGAUUUAUGAUGCUGUUGGAGAUCGGUUUCUUGAUAGGCUUUUGAUGAGUGGGAUGGGGAAAGCUACAGCUGGGGUUAAGGAAGUUGAUAAUCAAGAUGCAUACUUACAGCUUUCGGUUACUAUUCUUGCUGCAAUCUGCCGUGUCCCCGAGAUUGCUUCGUCGAUAUAUAUGAUCUCAAAGGUUCCAGUUAUCCUUGAAAUAUUAUCGAAAGGAGUGGGACCUACUAUAUAUGAUGAAUGCUAUGAAUUCUUGUUUCUAGUUUCAACUGCUUCUGAAGGGGGUCUUACUAAACUCUACGACUCUGGGUGCAUCAAUAUACUUGCUUCUAGCAUGUAUUCCUUGCCAGACGGUUCUCAUUCAUUUGAGCUUGCUGUGAGAGUUCUGCAACUGGUGCUGACAAAGCUCCCUCUAGAAACUAUCUGUACGAAAUAUCCUUCCGAGCUGACGUGCAUGGUGGCCAUGAUAGCUAAACAGUUCGCUUUAUUGCAUAACACCCUCAAGUUUGAAGUGCUUCACCUACUGACCGUCAUUCUGUCCUCGAACUAUGCUGUGCCAGUGCACAAUUCUUUUCGUUUGAUGUUAAAUGAUAGCUGGACUAGCUAUAUGCGUGUUGGUAUUGUUGCAGUCUUACAGAAUCGCGUUGUGUCAGCUGAAAAGCUUCAGGCUCUUAUUUUGGCUGAGUCUAUAAUAUCUAUUGUUGGAGAAAAUUGGUUGAUUGAUCAGAAGCAAUUACCCGAUGAUAGGGAAAUUGAGCCUAUUCCAGCUGAUAGAUGUCUAUUGCUUGUCCUGGAAUCAUCUAGGGUUGAAGUUGCUGUUCUUCUUAAUGAGAUUGCCUACAUGAAAUAUGAAGAGAAUCAAUCAGUAAGAGGGGAAGUUAGUAGUUUGAAGCAUCGGAACCUUGCUGUUGCAUUUUCGUUAAUAGAGAAAACUAUCAAACUGAUAUCUGGUGUAUGUGGCAAUGAAGAAGCAAAUGCAGGGAGCCCUAUCAGUGAACGUACCUUGGGCAAGGUCUUUGCUGGGCUGACUGAGACAAUUGGGGUGGUUUUGGAAUUUCUACAAGAUGCAAAGGAUCAUGGACAAAGGAAAGGAGACGAUCUUCUUGCAUCAGUAAGAGUUAUUGGAAGCUAUUUGGCGGAAACACCCUUUGCCUGCAAGGAGAAGAUUGACGAUCUUUUGGAGUACAUGCUCUCAGUUGAGGGUGAAGAUGAACCAAGCCCUUUCUUCUCUACAUGCUUUUUGCUUCCAAUGCUGUGCCAAAUAACAAUGGAGAUUGAAGGAUGUAAGAUGUUGGCAUCAUUUGGAGGACAUAAUUCUGUUAUGGAGUGCCUUGUCAAAUUGAUUGGCCUUAACAAUAUGGGUAUGGAUAGCAGUACCAUAUUCAUGGCUUGUGAUACCAUCGUGAACCUUCUUCUAAGGGGAGAAGAUAUCCGAGUUCAAUUUGAUGGCUCUAUUCAAAUUCAUCUCUUAACAGCAUUGGCAUCUUGGACAGAGAUUAUAAAUGAUCAAUCUAUCAUCAUGAUGGCUUCAACCCUCUGCUCUCUCAUCUUUGACUCAACAUCUGAGGAAGCUCUUGUGAAUCAUCCUAAUGUUGGCCAUAUCAUUCUUAAUAAACUGUCUCAGCUUAUUAUGAGAAGUUUGGCAACAUACGGGCAGCUGCGUGGUGGUUUGUUUGUAGAUUUCCUCAGGCCCAAAUUGAUGUUUGUAGAAUGGCAUUUGGAGAAAAAGAUUCCCAUGCCAUGUGUCUCAUUCUCACCAAAAAUGUUGGAACAUCCUGAUCGAAUAGUUCUGCCUAAUUAGAGAUGAGCUUUAGGGACCGUCAACGAAGUUACUAGGUUAGAUGCUUAGAGCAUGGAUAUGUUUGAUGAUGGUAAAGCAGAUGUCGAUCUUCACCAGAUUAUUAGCAGAGGGUAUGCUGGUUGGGCUGAUCGAUUUCCAGAAAUUAAGAAAACUCUCCAGCUGAUGAAACAGUAGUUAUAAAUGGCUUUGCACUUAAUUAUGUAUCUGCUUGAGAUGAUGAUCUCAACUCUGUACCAGCUGCUAUCAUGUAAAUAUAACUUUUGCUUCAUGGUCCAGAUAUAAUUCCUGAAGUAUCCUGUAUUUGCAACUUUUGUGGGGGGUUUUUCACCAUAAUUGAGUGCUAAGAAAUGUUUCAUUUUAUUUUGCAUGGCAGAAGAAGAAUUCAGAAACA